CCUACGGGAGGCAGCAGUGGGGAAUAUUGCACAAUGGGGGAAACCCUGAUGCAGCGACGCCGCGUGAGUGAAGAAGUAUUUCGGUAUGUAAAGCUCUAUCAGCAGGGAAGAAAAUGACGGUACCUGACUAAGAAGCCCCGGCUAACUACGUGCCAGCAGCCGCGGUAAUACGUAGGGGGCAAGCGUUAUCCGGAUUUACUGGGUGUAAAGGGAGCGUAGACGGCAUGGCAAGUCAGAUGUGAAAGCCCGGGGCUCAACCCCGGGACUGCAUUUGAAACUGUCAGGCUGGAGUGCAGGAGAGGUAA
rnacentral:rRNA from 1 species